GCCAACAGGGAGAAGUCCCCCAGAGAGGCACCAGCUCCAGCAUGAGUGAAGCUGGCCAGGUCUUUGUCCACAGGGUCACAGCCACUCCAUCCAUCACCCCCUGGGUCUCGUCCUGCCCGCAGGGUGAACAGCAAUUCAGGGCACCACCCCCAGAGAGAUGGGAGCAGUUGCACACUCCAUGUGCAGGGCAGCAGGAUCAGCAGGGACCCCAAGCCCAGGGCAACGAGAAGCUAGGGGACAGGAGAGCAGCUGCAGGUCUGCGGUCAAGCCACAGGGAAAGAGAUACCUUCUCAUUUCUCUCUGUGCAGAAGGCUCCUGCCCCAAGGGUCUGAAGAGGUGAAGUCUGCAACAGAGCUGCUCAAACUGCAAUGAGCCAACAUGCGUGGGAGUCAUCCGGUUAAAAUACAGAUGCUGAUUCAGCAGGUCCAGGCCGGUGGGGAGUGAGACUCUGCAUGUUGGCAAAUUGAAUUCCAAU
rnacentral:lncRNA from 12 species